ensembl:snoRNA
UGGAAAUGAUGAUUUCUCGCUGAAAUGAUGUGAUCCGAAUCACACAUGAACACUCCUUAAGAUAGUCAAGUCCUGAUCCAG